rnacentral:rRNA from 1 species
UACGGGGGGGGCAAGCGUUGUUCGGAAUUACUGGGCGUAAAGGGCUCGUAGGCGGCCAACUAAGUCGGAUGUGAAAUCCCCAGGCUCAACCUGGGAACUGCAUCCGGUACUGGUUGGCUUGAAUCCGGGAGAGGGAUGCAGAAUUCCAGGUGUAGCGGUGAAAUGCGUAGAUAUCUGGAGGAACACCAGCGGCGAAGGCGGCGCUCUGGGCCGGUACUGACGCUGAGGAGCGAAAGCGUGGGGAGCAAACAGG